GACGAACGCUGGCGGCGUGCCUAAUACAUGCAAGUUGAGCGCUGAAGGUUGGUACUUGUACCAACUGGAUGAGCAGCGAACGGGCGAGUAACGCGUGGGGAAUCUGCCUUUGAGCGGGGGACAACAUUUGGAAACGAAUGCUAAUACCGCAUAAAAACUUUAAACACAAGUUUUAAGUUUGAAAGAUGCAAUUGCAUCACUCAAAGAUGAUCCCGCGUUGUAUUAGCUAGUUGGUGAGGUAAAGGCUCACCAAGGCGAUGAUACAUAGCCGACCUGAGAGGGUGAGCGGCCACAUUGGGACGGAGACACGGCCCAAACUCCUACGGGAGGCAGCAGUAGGGAAUCUUCGGCAAUGGACGAAAGUCUGACCGAGCAACGCCGCGUGAGUGAAGAAGGUUGUCGGAUCGUAAAACUCUGUUGGUAGAGAAGAACGUUGGUGAGAGUGGAAAGCUCAUCAAGUGACGGUAACUACCCAGAAAGGGACGGCUAACUACGUG
rnacentral:rRNA from 1 species